UAUAUAUAUUUACACACAUACAUAUGUACAUAGAUCAAAUUUUUUAGCUGCUGGGAUGGGGAAAAUCCCUGUUAUAACAGUGAUACUUAGUAAUAGCACAUUUGCACUUUCAACCAAUUAUUGUAUUUUUUCAGAGGAUCAUGGGUAAAGUGCAUAUAUAAGAUAUUUCUUUAAAAAGAUUAGUGGGGCAGCUAUGAAGAUGUAAUUGUAUCAAAU